AUUGAACGCUGGCGGCAGGCCUAACACAUGCAAGUCGGGCGAGCGGAGGACGGGUGAGUAAUGUAUGGGGAUCUGCCUGAAGGAGGGGGCUAACUACUAGAAACGGUAGAUAAUAGCGCAUACCAUCAGAUGGACUCACAUGGGAUUAGCUUGUAGGUGAGGUAACGGCUCACCUAGGCGACGCUCCCUAGCUGGGCCGAGAGGGUGAACGGCCACACUGGGACUGAGACACGGCCCAGACUCCUACGGGAGGCAGCAGUGGGGAAUAGUGCACAAUGGGCGCAAGCCUGAUGCAGCCAUGCCGCGUGUAUGAAGAAGGCCUUCGGGUUGUAAAGUACUUUCAGUCGGGAGGCGUUACCGACAGAAGAAGCACCGGCUAACUCCGUGCCAGCAGCCGCGGUAAUAC
rnacentral:rRNA from 1 species